GUGGGGAAUAUUGGACAAUGGGCGCAAGCCUGAUCCAGCAAUGCCGCGUGGGUGAAGAAGGCCUUCGGGUUGUAAAGCCCUUUUGUACGGAAAGAAAUCCUGGUGGUUAAUACCCGCCGGGGAUGACGGUACCGUAAGAAUAAGCACCGGCUAACUUCGUGCCAGCAGCCGCGGUAAUACGAAGGGUGCAAGCGUUAAUCGGAAUUACUGGGCGUAAAGCGUGCGUAGGUGGUUUCUUAAGUCUGUCGUGAAAGCCCUGGGCUCAACCUGGGAAUGGCGAUGGAGACUGGGCGGCUAGAGUGAGGUAGAGGAGGGCGGAAUUCCCGGUGUAGCGGUGAAAUGCGUAGAGAUCGGGAGGAACAUCUGUGACGAAGGCGGCCAUCUGGACCAGCACUGACACUGAGGUACGAAAGCGUGGGGAGCAAACAGGAUUAGAAACCCUAGUAGUCC
rnacentral:rRNA from 1 species